UGGGGCAGGAGCUUAGUGGUAAAGUGUUUGCCUAUCAUGUACCAGGCCCUGGGUUUGAUCCCCAGCAUAG
rnacentral:tRNA from 1 species